AGAAAGAAUGGAGCCUUCUGAACCCCUAAAGGAACCUGGCAGAGAGAUCGAGAAGUACAGACAUGGUUGCAUUUAAACUUCCCUGUAAACAAAUGAUCUUGGAAAGGUAAAAAUUUCCACAGUUUUAUGUACAAGCCUGGAGGCACUGGAAAUCCCCAGUCCAUCCUGGUGGGGACAUUAAAGGAUUGCAAGAAGCUACACAAAGAUCAUUCAGAAUUUUUCCAGAAAAUUUGGCUCAUGUCAAACUGUCAUUUGGCAAUUUAGUUUUUUCACAGGGAACCAGCUGCCAACUGAGAAACUGUUGGCUUCCGUGUUACAUGCAUUACAUUUACAAAGCUAUUUUAUAAGGUGGCAGGCCAAAAUGCAGUUUGCAAAUAUUGUUGGCAUCUUUAGAGCUUUUUCUAAUAUCUGUAUCUGUAGGAUGUCCUGUAGAAUGAGAUACAUUUUGGAUGUACGAAUGGACUUUUAACACAUCUUCAGCUCUGGAGAUGAAGCAGAGGGCUCAUCCGCUGAAAAAAAUGGUGCAGUUAUGUCCCACUGUGAGGGAAAGCAGAGGUGCCAGCUCAGAGGAAGGUGGCAGAAAGUUGAGGUUCAGCACUGUAUUAAGAAGACCAUAUCUACUAAAUUCAACAGCCUGGAGUAAGUUCAACAGCUCUAGAGAUCAUAAGUACCAGAUUGCUUAG
rnacentral:lncRNA from 1 species